UGGUCUUCACCUUUGCAGGGAUAAAGGGAUGACAAGAACUUGAGUCUCCAUCACCAAGAGCCAUCAGACCAGCCCUUGGCUGACGCUAGUAUGAAGUUGUGAAGAUACCGUGGUUCUGACUCUUCCUAUGAGUGCCCAGCACAGCACCUGCUGCUAAGUGGCCACCCUGUGUUUCCUGGAAAAAUGAGUGAACUGGGGAGAUCCUGGGCCCUGGGGCCUCUAGCCAGACAGAGCCAAAGGACUCGCGGACGGUUUUUGGUCAAGGGAACCGAUUCAAGGACAAACACACAGCACAGCGCAUGAGUGACACAAGCAGGCAAGUUCAUUAAAGCAAAAAAGCACACUCUCGAGAUAUGAGAGCCGGCGAACUAGAGAGGGAGGCGGGGAGCGGGAAGGACCGAGGGAGACCUAGGGA